rnacentral:rRNA from 1 species
UACGUAGGUGGCAAGCGUUGUCCGGAAUUAUUGGGCGUAAAGCGCGCGCAGGCGGUCCUUUAAGUCUGAUGUGAAAGCCCACGGCUCAACCGGGAGGGUGCGCCGAAUACUGAGUGACUAGAGUGCGGGAGAGGAAAGUGGAAUUCCUGGUGUAGCGGUGAAAUGCGUAGAUAUCAGGAGGAACACCGGUGGUGUAGACGGCUUCUGGACCGUAACUGACGCUGAGACACGAAAGCGUGGGUAGCAAACAGG